rnacentral:lncRNA from 1 species
UGGAAAUAGGCCAAAGUCAGAAAAGCUUGGAGGGUGGGAGGCCAAGAGAUCCCCCCAACCCCUUUUUUCAAGAAGUAGAGAAGCCCAGAGCCUUGGCACCUGGGAUGUGUGUUACCUGAAGAAUCAGACUCAUGGAGCGUGGGCUAACUUUUGCUUUUAGAGGAUGCCCACCACGUGCCUGGCACUGUGCAGUGAACUUCACACCUGGCCAUCUGGGGCUAAAGCUUGUGCAGUGAUGCCCUGUGCUUUCUUCAAACCUGAGCCAGGCUGGGGCCAAGCUGUCUGCCUAACACCCUGCAUAGCUCCCGCCUGCUGAGAGGAAAAGUGGAAUUCUCACAGAGGCCACAGCCCUGACUGAGCCAGGUCUCCUCCAGUCUCCCUCCUGCUCACUCUGCUCCAGCUGCUGCCCUGAGCCUGCCUCAGGGCCUUUGCCCCUGCUGUUUCUUCUGCCUGGGGUGGAAAUGGCACACGUAACACUGGGCUGGAACAAGUGCUGAAGACAAAAGUGAGUCGUAGAAACAAGCAACUCAGACUCCUGUGUCACCUGCUUCUCCUCUCCUCAUACCUAUGUUUUGUGGGGAGAUUGCUAUGACUACUUGGUGGUGGAAGAAAACAUUCACCCCAGCUUACAGAUGACUCUGCAUCAUGUGUUGACACCAUUCCACAGAUAGCGACAGCACUAUAGCUCCACUCAGGGUGGCCCUGAGGACAGCGGUGAAUAGAAAUUCUCUUUGUGGAAAGAACUUGAACAGUGUAUCUGGAUGGCCUUUUUGCCUUCAGGGAGAGAUAAGGGUUUUUCUACAUAGGUCCAUGUGCAACGGGCUAAUUAUUUGGGUGGAUGAUCAGGAACAUGGCAGGAUGGAAGGAACACUAUUGGAA